GGGCCUGUGGUAUAGUGGCAGCACGCCUCGUUUGCAACGAGGAGAUGGGAGUUCGAUUCUCCCCAGGUCCA
rfam:Candidatus Staskawiczbacteria bacterium RIFOXYC1_FTLL_38_18 rifoxyc1_full_scaffold_4066, whole genome shotgun sequence.